UACCUGGUUGAUCCUGCCAGUAGUCAUAUGCUUGUCUCAAAGAUUAAGCCAUGCAAGUCUAAGUACGAGCUCUCGUACAGUGAAACUGCGAAUGGCUCAUUAAAUCAGUUAUGGAUCAUUUGAUCGUACAGUUUACUUGGAUAACUGUGGUAAUUCUAGAGCUAAUACAUGCGAGAAGCGCCGACCUCGCGGGAGGCGUGCAUUUAUCAGACCAAAAACCGGCCGCGUCUUCGGGCGCGUUCGCCUUGGUGACUCUGGAUAACUUUGCGGAUCGCACGGUCUAGCACCGGCGACGGAUCAUUCAAGUGUCUGCCCUAUCAACUUUCGUCGGUACGGUAUUUGCCUACCGAGGUUCUUACGGGUGACGGGGAAUCAGGGUUCGAUUCCGGAGAGGGAGCCUGAGAAACGGCUACCACAUCCAAGGAAGGCAGCAGGCGCGCAAAUUACCCAUUCCCGACGCGGGGAGGUAGUGACGAAAAAUAACAAUGCAGGACUCGUUCGAGGCCCUGUAAUUGGAAUGAGUACACUUUAAAAGCUUUAACGAGUAUCCAUUGGAGGGCAAGUCUGGUGCCAGCAGCCGCGGUAAUUCCAGCUCCAAAAGUAUAUAUUUAAGUUGUUGCGGUUAAAAAGCUCGUAGUUGGAUUUUGGGCGCAGGCGGCCGGUCCGUCGCAAGGCGUGUACUGGACGUCCUGGCCUUCCCUCCGGUUCUCCGCCGGUGCUCUUGACUGAGUGUCGGCGGCGGCCGGAACGUUUACUUUGAAAAAAUUAGAGUG
rnacentral:ncRNA from 1 species